UUCUGUGCAGUAUGACAUUAAACAGUUCAUCAGGCUGAGGACAGAACCUUGGUGUAUUUUUAUGUCAGCAAUUUCUAAGAGGUUUAUCAUCUGGGCAUUGCAAGAAAAUGAUGGAUAUCAAACGAAUGAUCAACAAUUUCCACUGGUUCUACUGGCAAUUCCAACUGAUUACAAUGACACAUAUGAUGGAUUCCUUUGAAUGGUGGCUUUUCCACAGCCUUUUGUUUUUUACAGUGAUUCUGCUAGUAUAUAUUUUUUAUGUCAUUGUGCCUAUGCAAUUCGACUUGGUUCUAGAGACUGUUUGUCAUCUAUUUGGUUUACAGUGCAAAAGUAGCAGACCAGCCAUCAUCUGAAUUUGCUACAGUUCAGAGGGACUGUGUGAUUGUGUGGAUAUUUUUCUUCUAGUUUAUAUUGUUGAGUUUCUUUUCAAAGCAACUUUUGGAGGUUUUCUGGGAUUACAUUUUUUUGAUCCAUGAAAGAAAUAUUUGGAAAAAAAUAACCAUAUUUGCAUUCAACAAGUGCCCAAACAUCGUUUCUCUGUAUGUGUAAGCUAUUCGUUGAGUGGCAUGUCAUAUACAUACCUUAAUUUUUCCAAGGAAGCUUAUCUCUCACAUUUUUAAGUUGUUUAGGGGCUUAAUCAGACGUUCAUUUCCUGUCAAAAUAUUAAUUUUAUAUAUUUGUUAUUAUUAGACUUUUAUUGCAAUUCAUUAUGUAGGAAUAGUCUGUAACAAGCUGUAAAAUAAGAAUAAAAUUGAAAACGUAGAAAGGCCAAUAAAGUUUUGUCUGUAGUAUAUUAUAAAACA